rnacentral:rRNA from 1 species
UUGAUUAUAAGGCAAUGUGGUGUUUAGGUCGUUCCGUAGAGACACUGCUCCUCUCUAAGUCCAUCAAUGAGUACGGUUGUACUGACAUGGCCCAUGGAGGGUGAAAGGCCCGUAAGAGUGGAGUUUUGAUAUGACAGUGUCUCUCUGGAUUGACCUUGGAGUCGGGUUGUUUGGGAAUGCAGCCCAAAGCGGGUGGUAAACUCCAUCCAAGGCUAAAUACAAGCACGAGUCCGAUAGCGAACAAGUACCGUGAGGGAAAGUUGAAAAGUACUUUGAAGAGAGAGUAAACAGUGCGUGAAACCGCUUAGAGGUAAACGGGUGGAGUUGAACUGGAAUCUCUGAGAAUUCAGCUGGGGAAUUUUGCUUGAGCUUGGUCAAUUGGGCAGGGCCUCGAGGUAUGCUUAUCUGCAUGUUCUGAUCUUCGGAUCGGGAUGCGCGUUGCUCUUAUCAAGGGCUGUGCGCCUUGGGUGUCCGGCUGGCUCAUUCGCCAGUGCACUUUCUUGGAGUGAUCACCACGACCGGCGCUGCUGCUGGGCUGUUAUAGUUAAACCGGGCAUUCUUCGUCCUUGUGGCGUUGGGUGUUCGACACGGCAGGUAACUGGGUUCUUGCUUCGGCUUGUUUCUUGGUGUAUGCUGGCUUUAACGGUUCCAUGUGGUGUGUCGGAGACGGCGGCUUGUGGUGUGUGCAUGCGUGUCUAUCUGUUGGGGCAUUCUAGUUUGGUAGCUGUGUGCUUGUUCAAGCAGGCCCAGUUAUGGCUGGAGUGUGUCAGUGGGUGGUUGCGUGUGUGACACUUUUCAGGGCCAAUAGUCUG